UCAAGCCUGACUGGAGUUGUCUCUUUUGCAAGCACAGAUGACAGAAAAGAGAUAGAUAAAUUCCUCAGUUGCCAAAAACCAACGUCCAUCUCCACUGUAUACAAUUGGGAAUUCAUAAUUUUGUUGUCCAUUAACACCAAAAGGCAAUACUUCAAAUGUAGAAAAUGUCCAGUAUAAUUAAUAAAAGUAAAAAAAUAUACAAACAGAAUUGGCAGGAAUUCUGUUCUCUGGUCACUACAAGGUGGCAACCGGGGCAGCCCUGCUCAUGUACCGACGCGGAACCAAGAAUAAGCACAGUGAGACUGACUAGCUCUGCUAAGCCGGGAAUCUGCAGCUCCUGUCCCAACUGCAGAAAUUAUGCCAUUGGCAGAGAGAGAGACCUAAUUUUAAUAAUUUAAGUGGCAACGCCCCCACCUGUGACCCAGUUUCAUAUGUAACUGUCCCGAACACUGCCAUUCAAAACACACAGAGAACAUAGGAAGCAGCCCGGGACAGGAUGAGGAGUUCUCACUGGGAAACCGUUAGGAAACCUUUCUCCAAUACUUCUUGUUUCUUAAUUAAAAAUGUUACUGUCAGCUUCAACCUUUGUCAUCUUCAAUGUAACUAAAAUGAACAGGGUUAGGGUUAUAGAGGAUCCACUGCAGUGGGAGUUGUGACUGUACUCUAUAGGUGUAACCAUAAACAGGGUUAGGGUUAUAGGGGAUCCACUGCAGUGGGAGUUGUGACUGUACUCUAUAGGUGUAACCAUAAACAGGGUUAGGGUUAUAGGGGAUCCACUGCAGUGGGAGUUGUGACUGUACUCUAUAGGUGUAACCAUAAACAGGGUUAGGGUUAUAGGGGAUCCACUGCAGUGGGAGUUGUGACUGUACUCUAUAGGUGUAACCAUAAACAGGGUUAGGGUUAUAGGGGAUCCACUGCAGUGGGAGUUGUGACUGUACUCUAUAGGUGUAACCAUAAACAGGGUUAGGGUUAUAGGGGAUCCACUGCAGUGGGAGUUGUGACUGUACUCUAUAGGUGUAACCAUAAACAGGGUUAGGGUUAUAGGGGAUCCACUGCAGUGGGAGUUGUGACUGUACUCUAUAGGUGUAACCAUAAACAGGGUUAGGGUUAUAGGGGAUCCACUGCAGUGGGAGUUGUGACUGUACUCUAUAGGUGUAACCAUAAACAGGGUUAGGGUUAUAGGGGAUCCACUGCAGUGGGAGUUGUGACUGUACUCUAUAGGUGUAACCAUAAACAGGGUUAGGGUUAUAGGGGAUCCACUGCAGUGGGAGUUGUGACUGUACUCUAUAGGUGUAACCAUAAACAGGGUUAGGGUUAUAGGGGAUCCACUGCAGUGGGAGUUGUGACUGUACUCUAUAGGUGUAACCAUAAACAGGGUUAGGGUUAUAGGGGAUCCACUGCAGUGGGAGUUGUGACUGUACUCUAUAGGUGUAACCAUAAACAGUCUCCUGUUUGAAAACACCAACAAACUAAAAACGUUGGCACCUUUGUGUAGAAAUGCUAACCGUCAUCACAGAACAGAUGGAUCAGAAAUAGAGCAGGGUGAAACGAGGCUAAGGAGUUAGUCACUAACCUACAUGUAGCCUUAUGAAAUGAGAGACAGAAACAACCUAGAUCCAAAUAUAAAGGUCCUGAACAACUGACAUGUCCCCCCCUCUAACAGACACAAUACAUUGUCAU